UACGUAGGGGGCGAGCGUUGUCCGGAUUUAUUGGGCGUAAAGAGCUCGUAGGCGGCUUGUCAAGUCGGGUGUGAAAACUCCAGGCUCAACCUGGAGAUGCCACUCGAGACUGCUAUGGCUAGAGUCCGGUAGGGGACCACGGAAUUCCUGGUGUAGCGGUGAAAUGCGCAGAUAUCAGGAGGAACACCGGUGGCGAAGGCGGUGGUCUGGGCCGGCACUGACGCUGAGGAGCGAAAGCGUGGGGAGCGAACAGG
rnacentral:rRNA from 1 species